UCCCCGGUAGUAUAUCGGGUAGUACACCCGCCUGUCAUGGGGCUCAUAACCUGUUAAUUGUCGCGGGAGAGCGGGGUUCGACUCCCCGCCGAGGAG